CCGAAUGCCAAUUAAUUUAACUUGGGAGUCAGAACAUGGGUGAUAAGGUCCGUGUUCGAAAGGGAAACAGCCCAGACCACCAGCUAAGGUCCCAAAAUAUAUGUUAAGUGGAAAAGGAUGUGGCGUUGCCCAGACAACUAGGAUGUUGGCUUAGAAGCAGCCAUCAUUUAAAGAGUGCGUAAUAGCUCACUAGUCGAGUGACACUGCGCCGAAAAUGUACCGGGGCUAAACAUAUUACCGAAGCUGUGGAUUGUCCUUUGGACAAUGGUAGGAGAGCGUUCUAAGGGCGUUGAAGCAUGAUCGUAAGGACAUGUGGAGCGCUUAGAAGUGAGAAUGCCGGUGUGAGUAGCGAAAGACGGGUGAGAAUCCCGUCCACCGAUUGACUAAGGUUUCCAGAGGAAGGCUCGUCCGCUCUGGGUUAGUCGGGUCCUAAGCUGAGGCCGACAGGCGUAGGCGAUGGAUAACAGGUUGAUAUUCCUGUACCACCUAUA
rnacentral:rRNA from 1 species